AAUCUCUCUCUUUCUCUCAAAUUUGCGGAAAAGGGGUUCCACAGCCUUUUGAGAAGAGAUCUUCAAUGUCUAUGCAAGAGGAACAAAAACCCAGCCUAUACGACCAACGUUGCUAUGGCAGAUGUUCUCAAAUCUCUUGAAAGUUGUCUGGAAGAUUAACUCGGACGAAAGCCUUACCUUGAGAUUUAGCUUCAGAGUCCUUGACAAAAGUUAUAGGAAAUUCAAUUAGCUUUCCAACGACGGUAAUUUCAGGGCAAUCAGAGCAGUACUUCAAGAUUUAUGACCGAUUUAGUGCACACAUAUCAAUAUGACGCGUCUAAAAAGUUUAUCCGGAAACUUCAAGAUUUCAGACAAGAAGUUGUAGCGACUUAGUGCAGCGGGAUCAGUACAUCAAUAGACUUUUUCAUGAUAAAAUUAUGGGCAGCAUUACUGAUCGAAGAUUUUAAUAACUGGAAUGUGAAAACUGAUGUAAUGGCUCGGAGUUAUUAAAAUUUAAUGAGGUUGCAAAGAGUGAGAAGCGAUGAAGAAAGCUGCCAAAAGGAAGUUGAAACCAUAUGUUGAGAAACCAAUGAAGAAACAGCGGUCAAGGGGAAGGUGAAACCAGACGUUGUGAAGCUAGAGAAGAGCAAGGACGGCUUAAAGACGAAAAAGACGACAAUGGUUGCGAAAGACGGGUCUAGUGGUGGAUUGAAGCCGAA
rnacentral:sRNA from 1 species